UAAAAUACUUUUCUCUUCAGGGCUGGUUGGCUCGGCGUAUCAUCUUGUGUUAAUCCAGCCUGAAACUUCACUUGAAGCAUUGACAAGGGCAGCGAAUGGCACGGUCACGAUGGCUUCUCUGGGGGCGAUAUUUGGAGUCACCACGUGUCUGAGUGCACAUGUUAGGGACGCUCCUGAUGAUCCCACCAACUACUUCCUCGGAGGAUGUGCAUCAGGAGCCUUUCUUGGGCUCGAAGUGAGUGUAUCAAAGAACUUUUUCAAAUAUGUCAAAUAGCUCGCAGCGUUGUAACGGGCACAACCACUUGUCUAGGGCUGGGGAUCGUUGCCAUGCUCACUAAAGUUGGGAAGAAGGAGGGCUGGAGGUUAUCUGGUGAACCCAGACUGUAAAACCUUAACUACUGUUGUGUUCAUAUUGUAUAUUGCUUAAAUAAAUCUUUAUGGAUGGGGGAAAAGUGUGUUGAAUGGUGUUUUCAUGCUUGAGUGCUGUUUAAUAAUGUUAAAUAAUGAGACUUUUGAGACAUUUCUUUGCGUGUUAUUCACCCUUAUAUUUGUGGCUAAUCUGAGAGCGAGCGAGCGAUCGAUCGAGUGAUAUCAACAGGGAUUACACACACACCAGAAAGGUAACUGCUGAUUUAGACUUAAUUGCUGUAAUAUUGUAUAGUUUUAUAAUGAUGUAUUGUUUUAACCCAGAAAAGAGGGUACACAUUUUAACAUUGUUAAAAAUAUUACAGCGGUUUUCGUUGGGUUUUUAAAAAUAAAAUGAAAAACACUUACAGCAUUUGGCAGACACCCUAAUCCAGAGCAACAGACACAUAUCUCAUUUAUACAACUGAGCAGUUGAUGGUUAAGGGGCUUGCUCAUGGGCCCAAGAGUGGCCACUUGAACUCACAACCUUCUGACUUCUUUGGGACUUGAACUCAUAACUUCUGGUCAGAAGUUCAAUGC